AGGUGUGCAGACAGUGAGCCACAGUCAAGCCCUGAUUCAAGCUGUCAUUGUUGGCCAAAAUGUCACUGGUCUGAGUCAUUGGACCAAUUUGGCCAUCUGUAACGGGGCAUUUCCGCCAGAGCCAUCGACGGAGGGCGUCUCGAGAAGAGAAGAGGUCGCGCAGUAAGGGAGAAACUGGGCCACAGCAACACUUCUUAAUUGCUAGCAGUCUUGACACUGGAGUUCACCCUGUAAGCUGCAUGCUGCCACCUGGUGCGAAGUCGUGGCGAUGAGGGGCAGUGAAGGCAUCUCGCACUGCAGGAUUAUACACCGCGUUGUACUGAAAACCAUGCAGAUCCAGCCCCAUGUGGAACCACCUGUGGCUCACCAGGCGCAGGAUCUUUCUAUCGUUUCCAUCAAAAGGCUGCACUAGGCAGGAUCGCCGUCGCAGGCACGUACAUAUGCAGGCUUAUCUUGUCUAAUCCUCAGAGAGCAGUAAAGCGAGGGAGAGGGUAAAGUAAGGAAGACUUUGUGACUCAUUGUAUGCUCCAGCUCUAAUUCACUAAUGUGUGCAUACCAGCUCCACAGGCACAAUUUCAUACACAUUUUAAUAUCGCACUCACGGGUUUUCAGCCUUAUUCCUGGCUGCCUUUCUCCAGGUGCAUUGUACCCUGGCAGUGUGAAAAGAAAAUCACAAAUGAAACAUUUUCUCAUGUCAUCACAAACCAUAAGAGCCAGGGGUUUAUGAGUAGAUUUUUCAUCUUUGUCUUUCUCUGCAUCACAUUCUAUUUCCAAUAACUAUUUGUUGAUAGGAUCAUCACUAACA